rnacentral:misc_RNA from 1 species
UCUCCGUAGGUGAACCUGCGGAGGGAUCAUUACAGAGUUCAUGCCCUACCGGGUAGAUCUCCCACCCUAUGUUAUUAUUACUUUGUUGCUUUGGCGGGCCGUUAGGCUCCGGCCCGACUACCGGCCCCGGCUGGUAAGCGCCCGCCAGAGGACCCAAAACCCUGAAUAUUAGUGUCGUCUGAGUACUAUAUAAUAGUUAAAACUUUCAACAACGGAUCUCUUGGUUCUGGCAUCAUGAAGAACGCAGC